UACGAAGGGGGCUAGCGUUGUUCGGAUUUACUGGGCGUAAAGCGCACGUAGGCGGAUCGUUAAGUCGGGGGUGAAAUCCUGGAGCUCAACUCCAGAACUGCCUUUGAUACUGAAGAUCUUGAGUUCGGGAGAGGUGAGUGGAACUGCGAGUGUAGAGGUGAAAUUCGUAGAUAUUCGCAAGAACACCAGUGGCGAAGGCGGCUUGCCAGAACGCGCUCGACGGU
rnacentral:rRNA from 1 species